GGAGCUCCAGGGCAUUGAUGUGGAGACAGGAUUCUUCCUCCAACCAGUGUCCCCCGGUAGUCACACCGUUGCAGUGGGCACCCCAACCGUGGAGACUUGCAUCUGAAUCCACCGUGAAUUCCGGUUGCGAACCAAAGAUGGCCUUGCCAUUCCAAGCGGAUAGGUUGUGGAUCCACAAGGUCAGCUCGUCUUGGGUUUCUGAAUCCAGGGAAACCAUGUCUGCAGAUGAUGCCCCGUUGCAAAGAUGUGCGAUCUUCAGACGCUGGUGGGCACGAUAAUGGAGAGGGGCAGGAAACACCGCCUAGAUUGAGGAGGCCAGUAGGCUGAUGAUCCAUGCCAUAUGAUGCAGCGACAGCUGGGGGCGCGCUAGGGCUCGGCGUAGUUCUUUGCGGAUGGAGCAUAUUUUGGCCGGAGGGAGGCUGAGAGAUUCCCCUUCUGAGUCUUCUGUGAACCCGAGGAACUCCAUGCGUCAGGAAGGGGUCAGGCAGGAUUUUUCCCAAUUGAGGAGGAAACCCAGGCGAGAUAGGAGAUCCAUCGUCCCCUGUAGGUGUUUCAGGAGGACCAAGCAGUCAUGUGCCAUGAGGAGGAUGUUGUCCAAAUAGACUAUUAGUCUUACGCCUCGACUGCACAACCAAGCCAUGGCAGGGAGCAUCAAUUUGGUGAAGCACCACGGAGCUGACGAGAGCCUGAAAGGGAGGCAUGUGAAGCGCCAAGUGUCGCCUUUCCAGAGGAAGAGUAGUAAGUCCCUGGAUGCCUCGGUCACUGGGACCGUCAAGUAUGCGUUCUUGAGGUCUAAUUUUGCCAUCCAGUUUCUCAGAAGGAGUAAGUCCCGCAGGAGAUGAAUGCCCUCCAUCUUGAAGUGGCGGUAGUGCCCUAGAGUGUUCACGGCCCGGAAGUUGAUAACUGGGCGC